UACGUAGGGUGCAAGCGUUAAUCGGAAUUACUGGGCGUAAAGCGUGCGGAGGCGGUUGUGCAAGACAGAUGUGAAAUCCCCGGGCUUAACCUGGGAAUUGCAUUUGUGACUGCACGGCUAGAGUGUGUCAGAGGGGGGUAGAAUUCCACGUGUAGCAGUGAAAUGCGUAGAUAUGUGGAGGAAUACCGAUGGCGAAGGCAGCCCCCUGGGAUAACACUGACGCUCAUGCACGAAAGCGUGGGGAGCAAACAGG
rnacentral:rRNA from 1 species